GCCCUGUUGUCAAUAUGGGCUCUCAAACAGGAUUAGCCUGUUAUCCCUAAGGUAGCUUUUUCUAUUAAUCAUAUAUUUGGAUCAAGAGUAAUUUUUAAGAGAGGUUUUAGUUUCUCUCUAGUUGCCCCAACUAAAUUUUCUUUAUAAUAAUUAUAGUUUAAAAUAAAGCUCUAUAGGGUCUUUUCGUCUUUUUAGGUAAUUCAAGUUUCUUCACUUGAAGAUCAAUUUUUAUGUGUAUAUAAGAGACAGUGUUGCACUCGUAGAUUCGUUCAUUCCAGCCAUCAAUUAAACGGCAAGUGAUUAUGC
rnacentral:rRNA from 1 species